GGAGAGAUGGGUGAGUGGCUGAAACCAGCAGUUUGCUAAACUGCCGUACCUCUAAAGGGUACCGGGGGUUCGAAUCCCCCUCUCUCCGCGA
rnacentral:tRNA from 5 species